UGAAAUGCACGAAAUUUCCUUUCAGUUAGUCAUAAAAUUUUGGUAACUCGAGCGCCAGCUACAAUAUUAAUUUAAGUUAAGAGACCAACGAGUACCUAAACAUUAGAAAAAUGUUGCGCUUCGAUUCAUUCAAGAUUGUCCUCAUACAAUUUGUUGCACUUGUGGCAUUGCUUACCAUAGUUCAAGGACAGCAAGGAGCAUUUCUAUCAUUUUGUGAUCAUGCGGGUGGAUCAUGCCCUGCAUGUCCUGAAUGUGUUCACGUUGUCGCACCAUUUGGAGUCUGUGAAAACACAACUUUUAAUCAGACGAUAAUUUUCGUAAAUGGUGGUAUGUGUAACCUUUAUACAAUUUCGAACUGUGGACCUUGCGUCGUGGGCACUUGUAUGGCUCUCGGUAAUGAAUAUCAAGGAGCCUCAUCGGCACCUUUUCGAAGCUAUCUUUGUAUUUGAAGCCUAGAAAUUAAUUGUUGAAUGUUGUUGUGCUCGUGACAAAUAUAAUGUACAAAAUA